rnacentral:rRNA from 1 species
ACGCUGGCGGCAGGCCUAACACAUGCAAGUCGAGCGGCAGCGGGAAGUAGUUUACUACUUUGCCGGCGAGCGGCGGACGGGUGAGUAAUGUCUGGGGAUCUGCCUGAUGGAGGGGGAUAACUACUGGAAACGGUGGCUAAUACCGCAUGACCUCGCAAGAGCAAAGUGGGGGACCUUAGGGCCUCACGCCAUCGGAUGAACCCAGAUGGGGAUUAGCUAGUAGGUGGG